AGUGCUGUGAGUUGAGGAACUGAGGUAUGAAAUAUUUCUUUUCCUUACGGCACCCU
rnacentral:pre_miRNA from 1 species